rnacentral:lncRNA from 1 species
AUGGUUCAGUCCCCAAGCCCACUCCUUUCACCUCCCUCCUCCACAGAGUCAGCACUGCCCAAGUGUGCCUUGGCCUCAGAGGCAGUUGAACGAAUCCAGAUGGUAGAAAGCACCGUUCCCAGGAGGCGGCCGGCAGCUGCUGAAGGAUAUGGCCUUGGAGGGAGCCUUGUUUUGUCAUCAGUUCUCUUCCUGCUCUACCAUGGCUCUGUCUCUGCCUGUAUCACGGAGCAGGCCCAUCAUCAAUCAGGUCUGCUUACCAUGCCCCAAACUGAGCUUUUAUCAACCUACACACAUAGCCAAUAUCCUCCAAAUAUUAAAAUCUAACAUCUCGGGCUGGAGAGAUGGCUCAGCGGUAAAGAGCACUGACUGCUCUUCCAGAGGACCUGAGUUCAAAUCCCAGCAACCACAUGGUGGCUCCCAACCAUCUGUAAUGAGAUCCUAUGCCCUCUUCUGGUGUUUCUGAAGACAGCUACAGUGUACUUAUAGAUAAUAAAUAAAUAAAUAAAUCUUUUUUUUUUAAAAAAUCUAACAUCUCACGGUCUAUGAAAUAGAAUAAUUAUACUAAACUGUAAAUACCAGUUGAGGCC